UACGUAGGGGGCAAGCGUUGUCCGGAAUCAUUGGGCGUAAAGCGCGCGUAGGCGGCCCGGUAAGUCCGUUGUGAAAGUCAAAGGCUCAACCUUUGAACGCCGAUGGAUACUGCCGGGCUAGAGUCCGGAAGAGGCGAGUGGAAUUCCGUGGUGUAGCGGUGGAAUGCGCAGAUAUCAGGAGGAACACCAAUAGCGAAGGCAGCUCGCUGGGACGGUACUGACGCUGAGGCGCGAAAGCGUGGGGAGCGAACAGG
rnacentral:rRNA from 1 species